AGUGGAUGGGGAGCAACCUAGUUGUGCGUGUGUAAAGGUAGUGCCAAGAAAAGCGGUGAUCAUGAUGAAAAUCAAUUCCCGGUACCCGAAACCGACACAGGUGGGCAAGUAGAGAAUACUAAGGGGCGCGAGGUAACUCUCUCCAAGGAACUCGGCAAAAUGACCCCGUAACUUAGGGAGAAGGGGUGCCACCGAGAGGUGGUCGCAGUGAAGAGGCCCAGGCGACUGUUUAGCAAAAACACAGGUCUCUGCAAACUCGAAAGAGGAGGUAUAGGGGCUGACGCCUGCCCAGUGCCGGAGGAUUAAAGAAGUUGGUCAGUCUUAGGAUGAAGCUAGCGACUGAAGCCCCGGUGAACGGCGGCCGUAACUAUAACGGUCCUAAGGUAGCGAAAUUCCUUGUCGGGUAAGUUCCGACCCGCACGAAAGGCGUAACGAUCUGGGCGCUGUCUCGGAGAGAGGCUCGGCGAAAUAGGAUUGUCUGUGAAGAUACGGACUACCUGCAUUUGGACAGAAAGACCCUAUGAAGCUUUACUAUAGCUUGGAAUUGUGUUCGGGCUUCCUGUGCGCAGGAUAGGUGGGAGGCGUAGAAGGUAUUCUUGUGGGGAUACUGGAGCCAACGGUGAGAUACCACUCUCAGGAGGCUAGAAUUCUAACUUAAUUAAGGACAGUUUCAGGUGGGUAGUUUGACUGGGGCGGUCGCCUCCAAAAAGGUAACGGAGGCGUACAAAGGUUCCCUCAGACUGGUUGGAAAUCAGUCGAAGAGUGCAAAGGCAGAAGGGAGCUUGACUGCGAGAAGUACAGUUCGAGCAGGGUGGAAACACGGUCUUAGUGAUCCGACGGUGCUGUGUGGAAGGGCCGUCGCUCAGCGGAUAAAAGUUACUCUAAGGAUAACAGGCUGAUCUCCCCCAAGAGUUCACAUCGACGGGGAGGUUUGGCACCUAUGUCGGCUCAUCGCAACCUGGGGCGGAAGUACGUCCCAAGGGUUGGGCUGUUCGCCCAUUAAAGCGGUACGUGAGCUGGGUUCAGAACGUCGUGAGACAGUUCGGUCCAUAUCCGAUGUAGGCGUGAGAAUAUUGAGAGGAGCCUUCCUUAGUACGAGAGGACCGGGAAGGACGCACCGCUGGUGUACCUGUUAUGAUGCCAAUUGUAAACGCAGGGUAGCCAAGUGCGGAGAGGAUAACCGCUGAAAGCAUCUAAGUGGGAAGCCCACCUCAAGAUGAGUAUUCUGGUGUAAGGUCACGGGAAGACGACCCGUAAAUAGGCACGAGGUGGAAGUGCAGAGAUGUAUGAAGCCGAAGUGUACUAAUAGACCGUCGGCUUGACC
rnacentral:rRNA from 1 species